UGGAAUAAUAAGCUUACUUUACCCCCGAAUCCGUCGAAUCAGACCAUACGACGGAUAUUUACUGCAUAUGUGAAGAUUUUGCGGGACUAGAAUCGUGUGAUGGCGGGGAAUAACAACGGCUGAAUCUACCAUCCUCUCCUCUUUGCGAUUUUUGUCACUGAUCUGUUACUUUGUGAAGGUGUUAUCUUACCUGUGUUUAUAAUGGCCAGCACAAUCUUUCUCACAGCUGCAAACCAAACUAUAUUUCUUUCUCUGAAUCUCAUCAUUUAAAAAAAGGAAUCAAGUAUCUUGUUUUAGACAGACCGAAUUACC